rnacentral:rRNA from 1 species
AACGAACGCUGGCGGCAGGCCUAACACAUGCAAGUCGAGCGGACCCUUCGGGGUUAGCGGCGGACGGGUGAGUAACGCGUGGGAAUAUGCCCUUCUCUACGGAAUAGUCCUGGGAAACUGGGGGUAAUACCGUAUACGCCCUUUGGGGGAAGGAUUUAUCGGGGAAGGAUUAGCCCGCGUUGGAUUAGGUAGUUGGUGGGGUAAUGGCCUACCAAGCCGACGAUCCAUAGCUGGUUUGAGAGGAUGAUCAGCCACACUGGGACUGAGACACGGCCCAGACUCCUACGGGAGGCAGCAGUGGGGAAUCUUAGACAAUGGGGGCAACCCUGAUCUAGCCAUGCCGCGUGAGUGAUGAAGGCCUUAGGGUUGUAAAGCUCUUUCAGCUGGGAAGAUAAUGACGGUACCAGCAGAAGAAGCCCCGGCUAACUCCGUG